CAACCUGCCCUUCAGAGGGGGACAACAGUUGGAAACGACUGCUAAUACCGCAUAACAUAUCCGGGAGGCAUCUCCUGGAUAUCAAAGAUUUAUCGCUGAAGGAUGGGCUCAUGUCUGAUUAGCUAGUUGGUGGGGUAACGGCCCACCAAGGCUGCGAUCAGUAGCCGGUCUGAGAGGAUGAACGGCCACAUUGGGACUGAGAUACGGCCCAGACUCCUACGGGAGGCAGCAG
rnacentral:rRNA from 1 species